rnacentral:rRNA from 1 species
ACUCCUACGGGAGGCAGCAGUGGGGAAUCUUGCACAAUGGACGAAAGUCUGAUGCAGCGAUCCCGCGUGGAGGAUGAAGCCCUAUGGGGUGUAAACUCCUUUUCUGGUGGAAGAAGAAUGACGGUACACCAGGAAUAAGAGACGGCUAACUACGUGCCAGCAGCCGCGGUAAU